GACGAACGCUGGCGGCGUGCCUAAUACAUGCAAGUAGGACGCACAGUUUAUACCGUAGCUUGCUACACCAUAGACUGUGAGUUGCGAACGGGUGAGUAACGCGUAGGUAACCUGCCUAUUAGAGGGGGAUAACUAUUGGAAACGAUAGCUAAUACCGCAUAACAGUAUGUAACACAUGUUAGAUGCUUGAAAGAUGCAAUUGCAUCGCUAGUAGAUGGACCUGCGUUGUAUUAGCUAGUAGGUAGGGUAAAGGCCUACCUAGGCAACGAUACAUAGCCGACCUGAGAGGGUGAUCGGCCACACUGGGACUGAGACGCGGCCCAGACUCCUACGGGAGGCAGCAGUAGGGAAUCUUCGGCAAUGGGGGGAACCCUGACCGAGCAACGCCGCGUGAGUGAAGAAGGUUUUCGGAUCGUAAAGCUCUGUUGUUAAGGAAGAACGAGUGUGAGAAUGGAAAGUUCAUACUGUGACGGUACUUAACCAGAAAGGGACGGCUAACUACGUGCCAGCAGCCGCGGUAAUACGUAGGUCCCGAGCGUUGUCCGGAUUUAUUGGGCGUAAAGCGAGCGCAGGCGGUUAGAAAAGUCUGAAGUGAAAGGCAGUGGCUCAACCAUUGUAGGCUUUGGAAACUGUUUAACUUGAGUGCAGAAGGGGAGAGUGGAAUUCCAUGUGUAGCGGUGAAAUGCGUAGAUAUAUGGAGGAACACCGGUGGCGAAAGCGGCUCUCUGGUCUGUAACUGACGCUGAGGCUCGAAAGCGUGGGGAGCGAACAGG
rnacentral:rRNA from 1 species